CCUACGGGUGGCAGCAGUGGGGAAUAUUGCACAAUGGGCGAAACCCUGAUGCAGCAACGCCGCGUGAGUGAAGAAGGUUUUCGGAUUGUAAAGCUCUGUUAGCAGGGAAGAGGAAGGUCGGUACCUGCAGCGGAAGCGACGCCUAACUACGGGCCAGCAGCCGCGGUAAUACGUAGGUGGCAAGCGUUGUUCGGAAUUACUGGGCGUAAAGGGUGCGUAGGCGGUUAAACAAGUUUGAUGUUAAAUAUACAGGCUUAACCUGUAGAAAGCAUAUGAAACUGUUUAACUAGAGUGCAGGAGAGGUAAGCGGAAUUCCGAGUGGAGCGGUGAAAUGCGUAGAUAUUAGGAAGAACACCAGUGGCGAAGGCGGAUUACUGGACUGUAACUGACGCUGAGGCAUGAGAGCAUGGGGAGCAAACAGGAUUAGAUACCCCAGUAGUC
rnacentral:rRNA from 1 species